rnacentral:rRNA from 1 species
GACGAAGGGGGCUAGCGUUGUUCGGAAUUACUGGGCGUAAAGCGAGUGUAGGUGGUUGUCCAAGUUGGAUGUGAAAGCCUUGAGCUCAACUCAAGAAAUGCAUUCAGGACUGGAUGGCUAGAGGACCGGAGAGGAUAGUGGAAUUCCCAGUGUAGUGGUGAAAUACGUAGAGAUUGGGAAGAACACCAGUGGCGAAGGCGGCUAUCUGGACGGUUUCUGACACUAAGAACUCGAAAGCGGUGGGGAGCAAACAGG